rnacentral:lncRNA from 1 species
UUUUUUUGGUCUGAAGUCUGAAUAAAUCUAAAUUGGUUUGAAUUUUAAAUAAAGUUAAAUGUCUAAAUCUGAAUGAUAUAUAUAUUACUUAAUCUCUGAUAAAAUAUUUAAAUUAUUUUUUUGAACUUAAAAAGCCUAAAAAUAAGUACUUUUAGAUUUGUGCCCUUAUAAAUUUUAAAUAUUAAAUAAGUAAUAAAUAUCUCAACAAAUACAAAUAAGUAGUAUUUUAUCAUAAAAUAAUAAUCUUAAAGUGAAUACAACCAUUUAAUAUUCUAAAUUCGGACAUAUCAAUUGAUUUUGUUGUAGUUUAUAAAGUAUAUGAAAAAUAAUCAUUAAAAAAAUUGUAAAGAUAAAUAAUUCUAAUUUGAAGAAAAUAAAAAGAUAAAAAUAAUAAUAACCUACUACUAUAUUAUCACAAGUUAAUGAGAUAAUUAAUAAUGCUAAUUAGUAAGUUUUAUUGAAAUUAAUCACAAUCUUUCAAUUGAUAUCAAUUAGUAAAAGGUACACUUAGAAAAUUCAAGAUAGAAUAGUGGUCCAGCAGGUUUAUUCUUUUAUAAAGUAUUUAAUUUGUUCCAGAAUUACUACUAGUACUACUACUAUUAUUAUUAUUAUUAUUAUUAUUUUGUUUUUGAAAAAAGAUCGAUUGAAUCAACAAAAAAACAUGUGAAGACACCAAUCGCACGAGCAUUUCACCGACGCAAUUAUGAUUUUACAGUUCUGGAAAUAACCAACCUCGGAGCUAACUAUUCAAUUUGUUUUAAAGCUAAAAAAUAAUAUAUGCACUGAAAAUAGAAUAAAAUUUAAUACAAAAAUCAUAAAAGAUAGAAAAAUUCUUUUUCUGUUGUGAAUUUUUUUCCCCCCAAUUUUAUAGUUAAUAUUUUUAUCUUCUAGUUGAUUGCGUGCUUUUUUUUUUUAUACUUCUACUUGUGUAUACAAAAUUAUUAAAUGAUUAUAUGUUCAAAACCCACUGUUCUUUUAGUAACUUGAUCAAUAAAAAUUUUUACGGCAUUGUAUAUAAGACACAAAAGAGUUGAAAGUUAACAGAAUUAUUUUUAUGGCGAAAAGGAUUUUAAAAUAUGGAGGAAAUUAUUACUUUUAACAAACAAGCUUUGAUGAUUUUAGUUAAAAUAAUUAUAGCAUUGAAAAGUGUUAAGAUCGUAAUUAAGAAAAGUGAUAGUAACACCCGGUGAUUUUUUGACGCAAUCGUCAUAGAUACCCCAUUUGACUUUUGAGACACGCUCCUGUUACACUAGCUACUACAUUUAUUUUUGAACACCGAAAUAAAAUAUGUAAUAAAUCUCCAUGAACAUUUCGCCAACUCUCAGGGUGGUAUUGUUCUUUUUCGAGAAGUUUUUUUUUUUUUU